GCGGGAAUGGCGGAACUGGCAGACGCGCAAGAUUUAGGUUCUUGUGUCCUUUGGGCGUGGGGGUUCAAAUCCCCCUUCCCGCA
rnacentral:tRNA from 1 species